rnacentral:rRNA from 1 species
UACAGAGGUCCCGAGCGUUGUUCGGAUUUAUUGGGCGUAAAGGGUGCGUAGGUGGCAAAGUAAGUUGGAUGUGAAAUCCUGGGGCUUAACCUCAGAAUUGCAUUCAAUACUGCUUAGCUAGAGAGCUGUAGAGGAGACUGGAAUUUACGGUGUAGCAGUGAAAUGCGUAGAUAUCAGGAGGAACACCGAUGGCGAAGGCAGAUCUCUGGGCCGUAACUGACGCUGAGGAGCGAAAGCGUGGGGAGCGAACAGG